CGUUAAGAAGCUAAAAUGGUAACAGCGUUAGCCUUUUAAGCUAGAGAUUGGUGCUCACCAACCACCCUUAACGA
rnacentral:tRNA from 1 species